rnacentral:misc_RNA from 1 species
AAAAUAAGUCCAACUGAAAUUGAAAAAUAAUCUUCGAGUGGAGCCCUCCAUUGCUAACACACUAUACACCAAACACUCUGAUUCUUCCAUUUCACACGCCAAUAUUAUACUUGUAAUAAUAAUAAAUAAUGAAUAGUAAAAUGAACUAUAAAGAAUUUUCCUCAAAUGAAAUCACUGCCUUUAUUAUUUCUUCAAUUCUCCUUUGCGCUUUCCAUUUUCUCAGGAAAAAAGUUAAAAAUACUAGGUGUAACAAUUAAUAAUAUUAGCCAAAAAAGAAAGACAGUGAAGCUAACGCCAAGCAGAUGCGACGGUGAGUGUUUUUCCCAUCCAACCGAAACCAACCCCACCAUUUUCUUCUUUAACAGUGAAACCUGUGUUCAACCGGUUUCCAGAACUCAGUCUGGCUUUCAUCGACUCUCCCACGUUUUGACUCAGUGGCUUCAACUCGAACCCUGCCAUUCCCAUCCGGGCCCGCCAUUUCCCAAACACUUCGCAUCUUUCCACACGGUCCCUACCUUCGCAAGCAACCGAGUUGGCGAGUUUCCGACCCAGUCCUUCUUCCACCUUCACUCUAUCUAAGUUCUCCCUCUGCAUCGUCGACUCAAUCGAGUCAAACAAUGCCCCAUAAUACGAGCAGGCCUCGUUCGCUCGCGCCAUGAAUGGAGCCGUAUUUGUGUUCAUUUCUUGCUCCACUAGCGUCACCACGCACGGCGCUAAACCCUUCACGCGCCGCAGAAGUUCGUCUCGAGGAUUCUCCGUGGAAACGCUCUCGUCCGGCAUUCGAUACAAGUUGAAUGCAAAAUUAACGGCCAAAGGCUCUUCAAGAUCGCAACCCAAUGAGUCGCGGCUCAACUCACCGAGUUUACAACUCACAACGUUGAAACGUAAUGAUACCCCAAACUGUUCUGCGAGUUGACUCAGGGUACUACCAACCACCUUCAACCUCUCUUUCUCUUCCCCUACAUUAUCAGCGACAGCCGUGAUCUUCACAGUGGAAGGCUUCCCAUUCAAACGCUCACGUAGCGCGUGCAGAAGAUUUACGUAUUGCCAUCCCUGCCCUAUGUCGAAAUCAAUAACAUGAAACUCGCUGCUGGAGUUGGGCUGGUCUACUGUAGCCUCAAGAAUUGCGAGAUUAGCGGCCAUGAACCCAAGUUUGAAACAAGGAGAGAGUUCAUACAGUAACUGGGUCGACCCAAUAUGUUCCUUGCUAUACAGCUCCGCCACUGGCGGCGGAUUCUCAACAGGGUUAACCCGCGAUUUGAGUGCCAGCAACAUGUACUCCAUCAACCUAUGUUCAGAAUUACCUCUCGGGUUCAAGACCUGCGAUACCCUCAUCAAGAUCUCACUCGCAACAUCGCUUUUGCCUUCGUAAAUGGCGGAAGCAGCGUCUAGAAGUGUUUGUUUUGAGCAAUUGUGGACCGGAGUGGUCACCGAUGUUGAGGAAGAGGAUGAAGAUGAGGACGAUGGAGUAGGAGAAGAAGAUAUUGGGUUGGGACUUGAAGAGGUGAUGAGAUUCUGUAUAGUUUCUGACCACUCGCUGUUAGUGCUAGUAAUCACCGAAACUGCAUCGCCUUCCUCGUCCUCGUUGUCAUCCAGAAGCUGCUUCUCCAGCUCUUGCAGUCGAUUCAUCAUCUUUUUUUUGGACUCUUGUCCUCCAAUAACUGCUCCUCCGCCUCCUCUGUUUUCACUUUGGAGCGUGUUCAUGUAAGGUACAGUAGAAGAGGUGUGGUUCGCUGAGUGAAUGGUGGGUCCGGACCCAAGACUGAUGGGCUGGGACCUAAACUGUUGAAGAAGAGGUAUACCGUAACGCCGAGACAAGGAUGGUAAUUCUGGAGAAAUGUUAGCCGAGAAUUCGAUGGGGGAGAGGGUAGAGAUUGGGGAUGUAUGUUGGUACAUCCUGGGCUUCACGGACCGAAGGAGACCAUUUAGUGCUGGGUGUAGGUUUGGCUGAUGUAGUUGUUGCUGUUGAUGUGCUUGAAAAUCGGCGAGAGUUCGCUUGCCGAUUACGCUUUGGGUUGUUACGUUCGAGGCGGAUGUUCGGUGUUGAGCGAUCUGAGAGGUAGGGUCUAGAAACAUUUGAGAGAGUUGGGUUCUAUAUGAAGGUUGUGAUGGGUUGUUGGAAUUCAUGUUCGUUAUGGAUCUACCCGCGAUGCCGGUGUAGAAAUCUGCGCCACCGCCGGAGAACCUUGAUGUCAUUUUCUCUCUCUGUGGAGGGAGUUAGAAAAGUUAGUGCUUAUAGAAACGCAUGAGACAUGGGAAGAGUUAACGGAGAAAUGAAUGGAAAGAAAAGGUUUGGGGUUUGAGAAAUGAUUGUGAUGAAUAUAAGGGUGAAAGCUUAAAAAUUCCAACUAGUUAUUAGCUCUCUGU